rnacentral:rRNA from 1 species
UGGAUGCCCUGGCAGUCAGAGGCGAUGAAGGGCGUACUAAUCUGCGAUAAGCGCCGGUAAGGUGAUAUGAACCGUUAUAACCGGCGAUACCCGAAUGGGGAAACCCAGUGUGAUUCGUCACACUAUCAUUAACUGAAUCCAUAGGUUAAUGAGGCGAACCGGGGGAACUGAAACAUCUAAGUACCCCGAGGAAAAGAAAUCAACCGAGAUUCCCCCAGUAGCGGCGAGCGAACGGGGAGGAGCCCAGAGCCUGAAUCAGCAUGUGUGUUAGUGGAAGCGUCUGGAAAGGCGCGCGAUACAGGGUGACAGCCCCGUACACAAAAGCGCAUGUGCUGUGAGCUCGAUGAGUAGGGCGGGACACGUGGUAUCCUGUCUGAAUAUGGGGGGACCAUCCUCCAAGGCUAAAUACUCCUGACUGACCGAUAGUGAACCAGUACCGUGAGGGAAAGGCGAAAAGAACCCCGGCGAGGGGAGUGAAAAAGAACCUGAAACCGUGUACGUACAAGCAGUGGGAGCACCCUUUGGGUGUGACUGCGUACCUUUUGUAUAAUGGGUCAGCGACUUAUAUUCUGUAGCAAGGUUAACCGAAUAGGGGAGCCGGAGGGAAACCGAGUCUUAACCGGGCGUUAAGUUGCAGGGUAUAGACCCGAAACCCGGUGAUCUAGCCAUGGGCAGGUUGAAGGUUGGGUAACACUAACUGGAGGACCGAACCGACUAAUGUUGAAAAAUUAGCGGAUGACCUGUGGCUGGGGGUGAAAGGCCAAUCAAACCGGGAGAUAGCUGGUUCUCCCCGAAAGCUAUUUAGGUAGCGCCUCGUGAAUUCAUCUCCGGGGGUAGAGCACUGUUUCGGCUAGGGGGCCAUCCCGGCUUACCAACCCGAUGCAAACUGCGAAUACCGGAGAAUGUUAUCACGGGAGACACACGGCGGGUGCUAACGUCCGUCGUGAAGAGGGAAACAACCCAGACCGCCAGCUAAGGUCCCAAAGUCAUGGUUAAGUGGGAAACGAUGUGGGAAGGCCCAGACAGCCAGGAUGUUGGCUUAGAAGCAGCCAUCAUUUAAAGAAAGCGUAAUAGCUCACUGGUCGAGUCGGCCUGCGCGGAAGAUGUAACGGGGCUAAACCAUGCACCGAAGCUGCGGCAGCGACACUGUGUGUUGUUGGGUAGGGGAGCGUUCUGUAAGCCUGUGAAGGUGUGUCGUGAGGCAUGCUGGAGGUAUCAGAAGUGCGAAUGCUGACAUAAGUAACGAUAAAGCGGGUGAAAAGCCCGCUCGCCGGAAGACCAAGGGUUCCUGUCCAACGUUAAUCGGGGCAGGGUGAGUCGACCCCUAAGGCGAGGCCGAAAGGCGUAGUCGAUGGGAAACGGGUUAAUAUUCCCGUACUUGGUGUUACUGCGAAGGGGGGACGGAGAAGGCUAUGUUGGCCGGGCGACGGUUGUCCCGGUUUAAGCGUGUAGGUGUGUGUUCCAGGUAAAUCCGGUUCACUUUAACACUGAGGCGUGACGACGAGGCACUACGGUGCUGAAGCAACAAAUGCCCUGCUUCCAGGAAAAGCCUCUAAGCAUCAGGUAACAUCAAAUCGUACCCCAAACCGACACAGGUGGUCAGGUAGAGAAUACCAAGGCGCUUGAGAGAACUCGGGUGAAGGAACUAGGCAAAAUGGUGCCGUAACUUCGGGAGAAGGCACGCUGACACGUAGGUGAAGUGAUUUACUCAUGGAGCUGAAGUCAGUCGAAGAUACCAGCUGGCUGCAACUGUUUAUUAAAAACACAGCACUGUGCAAACACGAAAGUGGACGUAUACGGUGUGACGCCUGCCCGGUGCCGGAAGGUUAAUUGAUGGGGUCAGCGCAAGCGAAGCUCCUGAUCGAAGCCCCGGUAAACGGCGGCCGUAACUAUAACGGUCCUAAGGUAGCGAAAUUCCUUGUCGGGUAAGUUCCGACCUGCACGAAUGGCGUAAUGAUGGCCAGGCUGUCUCCACCCGAGACUCAGUGAAAUUGAACUCGCUGUGAAGAUGCAGUGUACCCGCGGCAAGACGGAAAGACCCCGUGAACCUUUACUAUAGCUUGACACUGAACAUUGAGCCUUGAUGUGUAGGAUAGGUGGGAGGCUUUGAAGUGUGGACGCCAGUCUGCAUGGAGCCGACCUUGAAAUACCACCCUUUAAUGUUUGAUGUUCUAACGUGGACCCGUUACCCGGGUUGCGGACAGUGUCUGGUGGGUAGUUUGACUGGGGCGGUCUCCUCCUAAAGAGUAACGGAGGAGCACGAAGGUUGGCUAAUCCUGGUCGGACAUCAGGAGGUUAGUGCAAUGGCAUAAGCCAGCUUGACUGCGAGCGUGACGGCGCGAGCAGGUGCGAAAGCAGGUCAUAGUGAUCCGGUGGUUCUGAAUGGAAGGGCCAUCGCUCAACGGAUAAAAGGUACUCCGGGGAUAACAGGCUGAUACCGCCCAAGAGUUCAUAUCGACGGCGGUGUUUGGCACCUCGAUGUCGGCUCAUCACAUCCUGGGGCUGAAGUAGGUCCCAAGGGUAUGGCUGUUCGCCAUUUAAAGUGGUACGCGAGCUGGGUUUAGAACGUCGUGAGACAGUUCGGUCCCUAUCUGCCGUGGGCGCUGGAGAACUGAGGGGGGCUGCUCCUAGUACGAGAGGACCGGAGUGGACGCAUCACUGGUGUUCGGGUUGUCAUGCCAAUGGCACUGCCCGGUAGCUAAAUGCGGAAGAGAUAAGUGCUGAAAGCAUCUAAGCACGAAACUUGCCCCGA